rnacentral:rRNA from 1 species
GAUGAACGCUGGCGGCGUGCUUAACACAUGCAAGUCGAACGAAGCACCUCUCCCGAAGAUUGACACAGCUUGCUGUAGAUUGAUUCAUUUGAGGUGACUGAGUGGCGGACGGGUGAGUAACGCGUGGGUAACCUGCCUCAUAGAGGGGGACAACAGUUGGAAACGACUGCUAAUACCGCAUAGUAAGAAGAAUUCGCAUGUUUUCUUCUUGAAAGAUUUAUCGCUAUGAGAUGGACCCGCGUCUGAUUAGCUAGUUGGUAAGGUAACGGCUUACCAAGGCGACGAUCAGUAGCCGGCUUGGGAGAGUGAACGGCCACAUUGGGACUGAGACACGGCCCAAACUCCUACGGGAGGCAGCAGUGGGGAAUAUUGCACAAUGGGGGAAACCCUGAUGCAGCGACGCCGCGUGAGUGAAGAAGUAUUUCGGUAUGUAAAGCUCUAUCAGCAGGGAAGAUAAUGACGGUACCUGACUGAGAAGCCCCGGCUAACUACGUG